rnacentral:rRNA from 1 species
UGCUGGAGGUAUCAGAAGUGCGAAUGCUGACAUAAGUAACGAUAAAGCGGGUGAAAAGCCCGCUCGCCGGAAGACCAAGGGUUCCUGUCCAACGUUAAUCGGGGCAGGGUGAGUCGACCCCUAAGGCGAGGCCGAAAGGCGUAGUCGAUGGGAAACAGGUUAAUAUUCCUGUACUUGGUGUUACUGCGAAGGGGGGACGGAGAAGGCUAUGUUGGCCGGGCGACGGUUGUCCCGGUUUAAGCGUGUAGGCUGGUUUUCCAGGCAAAUCCGGAAAAUCAAGGCUGAGGCGUGAUGACGAGGCACUACGGUGCUGAAGCAACAAAUGCCCUGCUUCCAGGAAAAGCCUCUAAGCAUCAGGUAACAUCAAAUCGUACCCCAAACCGACACAGGUGGUCAGGUAGAGAAUACCAAGGCGCUUGAGAGAACUCGGGUGAAGGAACUAGGCAAAAUGGUGCCGUAACUUCGGGAGAAGGCACGCUGAUAUGUAGGUGAAGUCCCUUGCGGAUGGAGCUGAAAUCAGUCGAAGAUACCAGCUGGCUGCAACUGUUUAUUAAAAACACAGCACUGUGCAAACACGAAAGUGGACGUAUACGGUGUGACGCCUGCCCGGUGCCGGAAGGUUAAUUGAUGGGGUUAUCCGUAAGGAGAAGCUCUUGAUCGAAGCCCCGGUAAACGGCGGCCGUAACUAUAACGGUCCUAAGGUAGCGAAAUUCCUUGUCGGGUAAGUUCCGACCUGCACGAAUGGCGUAAUGAUGGCCAGGCUGUCUCCACCCGAGACUCAGUGAAAUUGAACUCGCUGUGAAGAUGCAGUGUACCCGCGGCAAGACGGAAAGACCCCGUGAACCUUUACUAUAGCUUGACACUGAACAUUGAGCCUUGAUGUGUAGGAUAGGUGGGAGGCUUUGAAGCGUGGACGCCAGUCUGCGUGGAGCCAACCUUGAAAUACCACCCUUUAAUGUUUGAUGUUCUAACGUUGGCCCCUUACCGGGGUUGCGGACAGUGUCUGGUGGGUAGUUUGACUGGGGCGGUCUCCUCCCAAAGCGUAACGGAGGAGCACGAAGGUUAGCUAAUCCUGGUCGGACAUCAGGAGGUUAGUGCAAUGGCAUAAGCUAGCUUGACUGCGAGCGUGACGGCGCGAGCAGGUGCGAAAGCAGGUCAUAGUGAUC